rnacentral:rRNA from 1 species
GGUGCAUGUCGCAUGCUCACACAUUUCGGCCGCCAUGGCACGCGGUUAGAUUGUGCCAGCCGCCGCGGUAAUUCCAGACUCCAAUAGCGUAUAUUAAAGUUGUUGCAGUGUGUGUKAUAUAAAAUGACAGCUCGUAGUUGAAGUUAUACCGGUCCCAUCGGGAACGCUGGGUCUGCUUCAUUGCAUGUACAAAUUGGCGGUCCGAGACUUCCUUCCUGGCUGAACACGGGCAGACUUACCGGGUGGUCCGGACCCAGGACCAUUACUUUGACAAAAUUAGAGUGUUCAAAGCAGGCUUUCAUAGGCCCGAAUAUAUGGGUAGCAUGGAAUAACAGAAUAGGACGUGCGUAGUUCGUGGAGUGAUUUGUCUGGUUAAUUCCGAUAACGAACUAGCCGUAAUGACCUGCUAAAAGGGACAGCCGGGUUGGCAAUUAGUAUUGGCCCCUUAUGUCUUCUUAGAGGUGACAAUCGACCGUCUUGGUGAUGGAGGCAAAAGACAAUAACAGGUACUGUGAAAAUUUGCCCUUAGAAUGUUUUCCUUACUCAAGCACGCGCGCUACACUGACAGAGACAACGAGUGGAUCCCCUUGUCCGAAAUGACUGGGUAACACUUGUGAAACUUUGUCGUGCUGGGGAUGGAGCUUUGCUAAUUUCACUUGCUCUAUCAACGAGGAAUUCCUAGUAAGCGCAAGUCAUCAGCUUGGGUCUGGGGGGACUACGUCCCAAUGCCCUUUGUACACACCGCCCGUC